CAAAACAAUACAGAACAAAAACGAACGUGCCGCUAUGCAGUGCUCACAAGCAACAAUACAUAAACAAGAUCCCACACCAAACAGGUGGGAAAAGUCUGCCUAAAUAUGAUCCCCAAUCAGAGACAACAAUAGACAGCUGCCUCCAAUUGGGAACCAUACCAAGCCAACCUAGAAAUAAAUAAACUACAAUGCCCACCCUAACCAAAAUAGAGAAUAAAGUAUCUCUAAGGUCAGGGCAUGACACAGGCACGCUUAUCCAGCAUUCAAAUAGGUUUGCAGUGUGGAUCCUCCAGUCCAGCAAAAAGUAUAAACUCUCCAUCAUCAAACAGCUCACUGUUCCUCAGGUCCAACUCUCUCAGAGGUCAAACUCAUCCUGCACCUCCUCUGACAUCAGAAGCACAUAGGCCAGUGCUGAGCAGUCAGCAGGUGACAGUUCUUCUCCAGACUCAAGGAACUUCUGAACGUUCUCCUGAACUGAAUUGUCCUUCAUCUCAGUCAAACAGAG